rnacentral:lncRNA from 1 species
AGGUGGGCCCAAUGUACUCACUGGGUCUUUAGAAAGGAAAGAGGCUGUGGGAGAGUCAGAGAUAGAGACAUCGUGAUGGAAGUAAAGGUCGGAGUGAGGUGCUGGCUGGUUUUGAAGCUGGAGGAAGAGGCCAUUUGACAAGAAAUCUGGGCAGCCUCUAGAAACUGGAAAAAGCAAGAAAGCAGAUUCUCCUCUAGAGCUUCCAGAAGGGAAGACAGGCGGGAAGACAUCAUGGUUUUAGCCCAACGAGAUCCAACUGGACUUCUGACCUCCAGAACUCUUCUGUUGCGUUUACACAGAGAGAGGAUGAGAGAAAGCAAACCAGAAACAUGUUAACCACUGGGGAAUCUAGAAAGAAGAGCUGAAUGAACAUUAGCUCUUACUAGAAAGAGUGAAGGAGAAGAAAAAAAAUAACAUGUAGGAGAAUCGUCCGUCUCCUUCAGCAAUUUCUAUGCUGGCAGUCUAUGAGAUGAUGCCUUUUUCAAGUUCUGUUUGAAUCAAAGUGAGAGUAAAAGUUUUUUCAAAUAUUUUCUGCCAUUUGAACAAGGAAUAAAGAACAGAGCCAUCUUUGCUUCAUGGAAGAUCAGUUAUCUUAGAGAAGUGUACUAUGAACGGAGUAACUCCUAUUUUUUUCCUAUUAUCCACUCAUUGAAAAUCAAUUUUAUAUCCUUGGAGGAAUUAUCCAGCAAUUUGACAAGACUCCCUAGGCUGCCUUCAUACACAGAGGAUGAAGUAUGUAAAGUCUGGACUGCCCUCCAGCCGCAAAGUCUGAAAUUGGCAAAAGGCACAUCCGCUGUUUUAUUUCCUUAAUACUUCACUCAGUCAAAGAAAACUUUUAGGAAAGCAAUGCUAUAAGAUGGUACAUGUCACUAAGAAUGUAUUGUGUGCUAGUCUCCUAAGACUAUUUGAACAUUAUUUUGUGUCUAAUUUGGGAAUAAAAUAUUUCAUUGCUGUGGAACAGUAUUUUGAU